GCCUUGAUGACUCGGGAGUCGCGGGCUCUGAAGUCGCCGCAUCUGGCUUGAGGAUCCCGAGGUGUUGGGGGCACGUAAAUCAAGAUACUACGCGAGAGAUCGGUAUUUGCAGGGAGGAGCCUGUCCGCCAUUGGUGCCUCGGGGAGUCCGCCCUGCUGGGGCACAGCGACAGCUCUUGUCCCCUCUCUUUUCUCUGAACACGUUAAUUUUAUUUCUUUUUUUUUUUUUGGUCUUUUCUUCUGCUGUAAAAAACACCGCUUCUCACCUUUGUUAGGCAGAUGUAGCAGAGAGAGAUAACGUAGGAGUGCCCAGCUGAAGUCUUGCUUGGAAACAAGAUGAGAAAGGCGGGACUGCUAUCAAAUGGUACAAGAUUUUUGCACAAUUUUCAGACAAGGAAGAUGAAUCUGCUGGAUGAUACCACAAUGGGAUGUGGGAAGAAUUUUUUAUUAGGAUCAAACUGGAGGGUGCAGUAAAAGUAGAAGAUUGUGGUGAGACAGCUUUGAAGACUGAGUUAAGGAUCAGGCACGGGGGAAGGACAAGCAGUAAAAUUGAAAACUGUGGUUAAAUAAAAGUGAACAAAUGAGAAGACUGAAAUUUAUUGUUAUUUAAUGACAUCCAAAACACCUAAAGAUGGAGCGCUUGAGAUGUUUAUGCUGUAGAGGUCAUGGCAAGUUCACUUUUGCAUAUCAGGAAAAUAAAGAUUUUUUUUGUUCCUCACCAAAAGGAUGGUUGGAUUUGCCAUCAUCCAUUAUGAUCCAGAAGUCCAAGUCCAUAUGUCUUUAUGGAUGGUGAGGUUCUAAUUAGUUGCUAAUCUUGUGUGUGUGCAGACUGCUAACUGCUGAAGGACCUUGUAGCCACAAGAAGUUCAUACAGAAUAGCAGCAGCACUGGAUUGUACUAGCAAGAUCAGUAAUUACUAUACAUACAGAAGUUCUAAAGGUGAAAAAAUAUUACCUUGUAAAUACCUUUCUAACUUUCUUUCUCCUAUGUGGUGUUGUUUUGGUUUUUUGUUUUUUUUUUUUGGUUUGGGUUUUAUUUCAGACCAAAUUGUCCCUUGUCCAUUUCUGUGAAUUUGGGGAUAACCAGCAAGAGUUAUUGAGGGUUUCUGCAUAAACACAUCAAUGCAUGAAAAGGUAACACUUAACACUUCAAAGCAUCAGUAGUUAAAAAGUAUAUGCAUAAUUUUGAUGUGUUUUUUGAAGCCCUGUCAGAGAUGGACACACUGUGACUGGAUGGGAGCUACCAUGAUCCAUGAUCCCUGCUGAUUUCCGGCUUCCACCUAGAGAAGUGCAACUGUAACUGUACCAGCUCUGGCCGUCAGCACACAGUUGUAAGUAGAGCCUGGAAGCAGAUACACACCCGAGAAGAAAUCCUGCUGUGCCCUGAGGCAAUCAGAUCCAUGGGGAGCAGCCACUCCAGGUGCCAUGUGCAUCAGGUUAGUCCAGGUGAAUGAGAAUGAAAACUAGGACUAAGCUGACCAAGCCUCAGUCUGGCAGCAAUUUAGGGGCACAUUGGGGUGUGAAAUGUGCGAUUCUCCUUUAUAUUGUGGGUCUAACAACCAGUCCUACUGAUGGGCCUGUCUUCAGUAUCCUGGAAGGUGGCCUGUGCAGAGACUGACAGCUUGGAGUCUCCCUGUAAGUAGGGUGCACCAAGCCUUGAUUUUACUUUUGUUGUAAUUAACGGAUUUGUCAUGCAACUUUCAAAAAUAUUUGUUUUCCUCCAUUAAAUUAGACAAAUUCUAGCAAUAUUUAGUCAUGUUGAUUGUCACUCUAGGCAAAAAUCCAUCUCUAUUUUUAGUUGAACUUGUGCAUUUCAUGUGAUAAUGCUCUGGGAACAUUUCUAUUUCCCUAGGAAGAUGAUGUAAAGAAAGAUGAUUGCUUUCCCUCACAAGUGUCUCACCUAAAUGAAGCAGCACGUUUAUUACAAGCUUUUGCUUUAGGAGGUGAAGCAAAUCUGUAUCUCCAAUUUUCAAUAUAUCUAUCAUGAUACUUUUAUCUAAUUUAAAAAACAUACCACAGAGGCUUAAAUUUUGAAACUCGCACCAUUUCAACAGCCUAUUCAAAGGAAUGGUUGUCUUUUGGGAAGGACGGGAGUGUUAGAAGGAAUGUCAGGAUGAGAGACUGAAAGCUGAUGCAGAAGGGAAUAGGAGUGCUAAAAUCUCCUGACAUUCCUAGAGUGGGCAAAGGAGUAGAGUCAUUCUCUCACUCAUUCCUGCCAUCACUCAGUCUGUUCCUUCACUCAAAAUGUGCCAUGACUGCCUUCCCACAUCAUGGGAGACAGCUCUGGGCUCUUCCAACUCAUGCUGCCUGAUCAGGAAAACAUUUUGCUCUUCUCAUACUGUUUUGAUUAAUAGGGAGAGCUCAUUGUAAAAA